CUUUGAUUGUUUGCCUUAGAGAACUUUGUUCUAUGUUUGCUUAUCUCAGAUGUGGUUAAGCCAAACUAGAAGGAACUUUUAGGUGGCUGUCACUUCUAUUGUUGUAAUUUUGGUUUAUUUACGCUUAACUUCUAAAGCAAACCACUCCUCCACAAACAAAGAGCCACAGCAAACCCCAGUGCGUCACGUCGCUAUAGCUCGGCAGAUUUUGCCUGCCCAGAUGCCACAUGUACAUUGGCACACCAUCCCAGUGUGUUUCAAAGGGGAUGCAGAAACUACUGUAUCUAUCACACGUGAAAUGUUGAUUCAGCCACGGGAACUGGGCAACAACCUAGUCCAGAACCAAACAGCUCAGAUUUGCACCACUACUUUUUUUUGGUGAGGUACUCUGCUCUGGAGCGGAUGCACUCCGUGACGAAGCACGGUAUUGCCUCGGCUGGUUGAGGGGCAGCUCCGUCAGGGAGCAUCAGCCGCGCGCCAUUGUCCUCCUCGUGGCAGCGGCGUUCUGACAUCACAAGGGCAGAGCCGGGAGCAGCGGCGGGAACACCCCCUAGGGAGCGCAGCUCACAGGCGCAUCGGAAGGGCGCGGCCCGGCAGUUUGUGCGGGCACUUCGCAGGAGGCGGGCGAGCGUCUCGGCCCGCCCGAGAGGCCGGCUCGCCUAUCGGCUGCCAAGCAGACAGCAAAUCUAGCCGUGGUCUCCACGACGCAGAAAGCUCUGGCAAGAAAGAAUGUGGCGACGCAGACGGAGUUCUUGCCUUUUUUAUGUGGCGGUUCAGGUCUCUGGCUGCAGUGAGUGCCUGAGCCUGUUGCUGCCGGUGAAGGGUGGCAGGGAUUCCACCUGCGUGAGGCAUGAGCAGAUGUUAUGUGCCAGAAGAUUGCCUCAAUCUACCACUCAUGUUUUACCAGAGCGCUCUACAGCCUGUCUGGGAUGGGAGAGCAGGAGAGAUGUUCCCAGAAAACAGCGGCACAAGCUCUGGUGGCCCUGGAAGGACUUCUGCUGACAGUGCUUCCAAACUUUCAGUGUGCAUCUCUAGAAACAGAGGGAGAGAGAAGCAGCACUUCCAGAUGGGAAGAUAUACUGGAAAUGUGGAGUGUCCAUCUGAAAAGAGACACCUGGACUUAUAGCCAUGAGGACAAAAGGAAUGAACGAGCUGCCUUCAGAUUAUGCUAAGCAGCAGAAGUGGAGGUGCAUGUCGAUUUUGGGAGCAGAAGGAUUUCCCGUGUUGCUAGAGAGGUGUCUGUUUAAAGGUAACACCUUCCCUGCAGCACUGGUGAAGAAACUGCAUCCUGGUGUUAGAUAAAGGAAAGAAGAAAGAAGACCAGAGAGGAAGCGUAAACCACUGAUGUGCAACGGCAGCCUAUUGCUACCACUGCAGGCUCUGUGACAGCGAGUGGGCAGAGUGAGGGACACCAGAGAAGGACUGAGGAACACUGCUGCUGGAUGAUUCCUGGGAGAAGCAGGUGGUACUGGAUGCUUUCACCAUAUAAAUAUGGAAAGCUGUAGCAGGUUUCUAAUAUGAUAAAGGAUAUUAUGAUGGUCUUACAAUGCCUUUUUGCAAUGGGGCUUCUGGUAGUAAAAAGAGUUUCUGUCCAUCUAACCUGUAUCAAAAUUUCCAGUGGCCAAUAACGUGAGGAGGUAGCUGGUGCAUGUGGUGCAACUGCAAGGUCUCCAGUCGUGGUGCAUGAGCUGAAAGUCCUGUAGGCCUGGUCUUCUCAUCAACGUGGGCAGAGAAACCUCACAUGCUGGCUCAGUUCUACCAGGCAGCAUGUUUGGUCUGCAUGUUGCUCAGUGAAAUGCUGGUGGUUGUAGCGUUUUCUGCCAAAGUUCCAAAUAUAUGCUUUGCUUGAUGCUUUGAAGGGUAACACCUGGGCAGAGAUGGUUUGAGAAUCUGUGCCUCACCUGGUUUCUGUCAUCUUUGAGUGGAAAAUAACAUGGUGGUUGAUCCUUGGGCUUGGUGGAGAUCAGAUUCUGCUCACCAUGUCUUCCCUGCCCACCUGCAGGUUGUUUGAGUGCAAAGACAAUGGAUAUCUGUCGGUCAUUCAAAGAAACUGAGGGGCACCUCACGUCCCGUCAGUCUCAUUUGUGGGUUUUUUUUGCUGGCCAAAUCUUCCGUAUAAGUAAAGACAAAUAAUUGCUAUAAGCUAACACAGGUGUCCUCAUCACCUGCAUCAUAUUCAAACUGGGGGACAACUUUCAUCAUUUUUCCAGCAAAGGAAAAAUAGUGCGGAUGUUUCCAAGUGAUUAAAAAUCAGAUAAGAGGGAGUGCUGAGGAUGAUAGCCAACUCAAGAAAUCUCAGCUCUGUGUGAGCCAGGCUAUAUAUUUUUAUAUUCAUUAAGUUUUAACACCUCUCAGUCUCACCUCAGCAGAUUUCAUUUUCUCGGAAUAAAUUGUUAGCAUUUAUACAACUUCGACACGAUUAUUUUGGAGGCUUUUUAAAGGAGGUUUUGCUUCACAGCUCAAACAACAGUCUUUGAGUGAAUUUUUGGCUCCAAGCGUGGAUGUUGUUUUCAUUGAAUGUGCCUGUCGAGACCUCUGGCUUCCUAUACAAAAACAAAGUGAUGAGACAGCCUAGCUCUCCAAAUCUGCAGUACCCUCACAGCCAUCCAAACCAGCGCUCCUUAAAUGUAGCAUCUGAUCAUCAUGUUUUUACAGGCAGGAAAAUAGUCUGAAGAAGAAAAGUAAGUAGACAAAGCUCAGAUGGUUCUUCACUAGAAAAAAAAAUGCCUUGAUAGUGUUGUUUCUGCUUCCUGCCCUUACCAACCCUCACGUGUUGGUUGGUCUGGGUGUUGAGUGCUUGAAUCCUCCUAGAAGUUGCAUAUAGAAACUGUUUGGCAUUGGGAAGUACCACACCUUGCAUCGGUCAGAGCUUUUCGAAGCAAAAUCCAUUAUCAUUUGGCCAGAGAAACGAUAUGGAAGACAGAGGAUGCAGGACAGGGAUUAUUUUUUGCUCUACAAGAGAAAGAGAAGCCAUAAUCUUUAUUACCUGGAAAUUCUGUUCCUUGAUUCACUGAGGCAUAAAAAAUGGCUCUUGCUUUGAAUCUGUACAGUAGUUCAUCAAAACAUAUGGCUCUGUGAAACAGCACUUUGUUUUCAUUUGGAAAGAGGCCAACAUGAACAGGGAUUCUCCUGGGUGAUGGUGCUGCAGAGGUCCAAGAUGGGAAGAAAGCAGUGAAGAUCACUCCACGUUGAUACCUGUGUCUUCUCCACCCAAGAAAGAGCUGAGAGACAAGGUGGUACAAAGAAACCAUCAAAUCUGUGGUAAAUGGUGAUUAAAUCAAAAUAGCAAAAAGGAUUUGGAUCCAAGGAAAAAUGCAGCAGUACCACUAGUACCGCGCAAGUGUCUCUGAAAUGAGACUGUGUAUUGAAACUGCUCAUUGAGCAGCACUGCCUGGAGCCAGUGUGAUAGGGAGUACUUCAGAUACUCUGUCCCUUUGAGGGCUUCAUGGCUGUGUUCAUUUCCCGUUUCUUUGCUGUCUGAUUUCUCAGUUGUGCUUUUCCUUAUUCCAGUAGUAGUGCAUCCAGCCAUUGCUUGCCUCCCUCCACCAAGAAAUGCUGUCAGACUUCUCCCGAGGCCACCAGUUAGGGAUGGCAUGCUCUCCCCAUCCAGCACAUAAGCCAUUGUCUAAUUCUCUUAGCCAGGACCAACUGCUGGAAAACAAGGACAAUAUGCUAUUCCUGCAAGCAGGAAUCAUCGAAAUUAGAAGCUUGGUGAAUUUCAAACAGUGCAUCUUCCAUGAUCAUGCCUUUCCUUGCCUUUCAUUUCUCCCUCUGUUGUACAUGUAAGUGAAAAGGUAGUUAGCUCUUUGUUGUGAGGCUUACGUACGGGCUAUGAACAAUACCUAAUAAUUGUGUAAUAGUUGGGCUGAGGAAAAAGAUACAGUGCUGGCGUCCCUCAGCUACACAGC